rnacentral:rRNA from 1 species
GAUGAACGCUGGCGGCGUGCUUAAUACAUGCAAGUCGAACGGACAGGCCAUGCUUUUGUGGGGUGCUCGAGUGGCGAACGGGUGAGUAACACGUGAGUAAACUGCCCUUGACUUUGGGAUAACUUCAGGAAACUGGGGCUAAUAUAGGAUAGGAGAUACUGCUGCAUGGUGGUGGAUGGAAAGUUUCGGCGGUUGGGGCUGGACUCGCGGCUUAUCGGCUUGAUGGUGGGGUAGUGGAGUACCAAGGCUUUGACGGGUAGCCUGCCUGAGAGGGUGACCGGCCACAAGGGGACUGAGAGACGGCGCAGACUCCUACGGGAGGCAGCAGUGGGGAGUAUGGCACAAUGGGCGGAAGUCAGUUGCAGCAACGCCGCGUGCGUGAUGAUGGCCUUCGGGUUGUAAACCGCUUUCUACUGUGACAAAGCGUGAGUGACGGUAAUUAGUAAAGAAGCACCGGCUAACUACGUG